rnacentral:rRNA from 1 species
AGUGAACGCUGGCGGUAGGCCUAACACAUGCAAGUCGAACGGCAGCACAGUAAGAGCUUGCUCUUACGGGUGGCGAGUGGCGUACGGGUGAGGAAUACAUCGGAAUCUACUUUUUCGUGGGGGAUAACGUAGGGAAACUUACGCUCAUACCGCAUACGACCUACGGGUGAAAGCAGGGGAUCUUCGGACCUUGCGCGAUUGAAUGAGCCGAUGUCGGAUUAGCUAGUGGGCGGGGUAAAGGCCCACCAAGGCGACGAUCCGUAGCUGGUCUGAGAGGAUGAUCAGCCACACUGGAACUGAGACACGGUCCAGACGCCUACGGGAGGCAGCAGUGGGGAAUAUUGGACAAUGGGCGCAAGCCUGAUCCAGCCAUACCGCGUGGGUGAAGAAGGCCUUCGGGUUGUAAAGCCCUUUUGUUGGGAAAGAAAAGCAGCAGGUUAAUACCCCGCUGUUCUGACGGUACCCAAAGAAUAAGCACCGGCUAACUUCGUGC